GUGUGACUAGAAUUUUUUUUUUUCUUUUUGUGGUGUCCAGGGUUCGAACUCUAGAUCUUGAAGAUAUUAUGCAUUGUCCUUACUAACUGAACUAACCUCAUGGAGACAAAAGUAUUUUAUUAUUUAAAAAAGUUGAUUUGUGUAACACCCCAGAUUUUGUUCCAAGACAUUACGCCUAAAUCAUUUUCUUUUUCUGAAAAAAAAACACUACUAUUUAUUUAUUUGAUCAAUAAUAAAUUCUUAGCAAAACCUAUACAAAAUGCUUGACAUAAUUUAAUUAAACUCUUAAACUAAUAUCCUUCAAAAGUUUCUACUAAAGUUACAAUUCAAUCAAAAACCCAAUUUUGUUCCCCGUACGCACUUCAAGCAAAAACUUCAAAGCAUAGACCAUCUCUUCUUUGGUACCUAAAAUGUUAGUGUAAGGGUCAAUUUCCUUAUCAAAAUUGGUUCAUACUCAAAGCACCGGAACAAUGUCAUGAAAUAGAUAAUAUCAAAACUUAUCAAUCAAAAAGAAUUAAGAAAAUUACAUUCAAGUCACAUGCUUCAAAGUAAGGUUCACACACAUCUUGUUUGCAAUGAAAUAGUUUUAAGUCAAUCAUCAAUCAUCAAUCACAUGUAUACAACAAACUCAAUGCAAUUAUGCAUAAGAUGCAUGCUUUUAUAACUAUAUGAUCCGGAUAUAACCCACCACAUAGGCACCACACAGAAAUAAUCCGCCACACAGAUGCAUACAUUAAUGCAUGAUCAUGAAAAUGAAGACUAAAUCCUGCCACAGUGGCACAACAAUGCAAUAUGAUAUUAUCCCGCCACUAAGGCACGACCAAGAAAUAUAUUAUUAACCCGCCACAGGCAAACGUAUAGUCAAAUAAAAUACCCGCCACUAAGGCAAACUCGUCAUAGAACUCAUAUUUCUAUAUUUUCAUUUAUUUAGUUGUUUUUUCUUCUCAACAUACAAGAAUCUCUAACUCUAAUUCAUAACAUCAUCCUAAUACUUAGUAUGGACAUAUGGGGAAAAAGCCCUUACCAUUGACGAUUUUCUUCCUAGUCGAGCAACUCUAUAUCAAGGCACAUCAAUCUUUGCUCCGCUAAGUCUAAACUUGGCUUUUCGUUGGACAAAGCAAGGAAAAGAUUAUGCGGUGGAUGAUCCAAAGCCUCCCCAAAUAUACCGUGGGUGAAUAGAACUCCAAUUAUAAGGCAGAAUUUGGUUCAAAAGUGAUGUCGGGAACUCCAAAAGUUUGGGCAUGAACAGGAAAUUUUAACCUACUGAUUGUGUAGUUUGGGAAUGAGCAUGGUUGGUACCAUGACCAUGUGAUAAUUCCAAAUAGAAAAAAGUGGUUUACGGCAUUAUCUCAAGAUGAAGAAAGGAAGCACUAAAUAAGGAGUAUUAUAUAUGUGUUUAGAGACAUAGGAAAAUUGAGAGAUAGUGGUGUGUUGAGAUAUGUUGAGAUAUAUCAAAGUGGAAGCAAAAUGCAAAGUAAUUAAACCUAAUUAGGCAACUCACAUGUGAAGGUAAGUAGCAGUUACAACACAUCCUACUUGUUUUUACUUAGUCAAAAAUUGGCCGGAUUACACCACUUCCUAUUCAAGUAGCAUACGUGUAUUUUUUAUCCCUCUACAAAUAUAUAAAUGCUGGAAACCAAUUAAUUAC
rnacentral:lncRNA from 1 species